rnacentral:rRNA from 1 species
GAUGAACGCUGGCGGCGCGCCUAACACAUGCAAGUCGAACGGCACCUAUCUUCGGAUAGAAGCGAGUGGCGAACGGCUGAGUAACACGUGGAGAACCUGCCCCCUCCCCCGGGAUAGCCGCCCGAAAGGACGGGUAAUACCGGAUACCCCCGGGCGCCGCAUGGCGCCCGGGCUAAAGCCCCGACGGGAGGGGAUGGCUCCGCGGCCCAUCAGGUAGACGGCGGGGUGACGGCCCACCGUGCCGACAACGGGUAGCCGGGUUGAGAGACCGACCGGCCAGAUUGGGACUGAGACACGGCCCAGACUCCUACGGGAGGCAGCAGUGGGGAAUCUUGCGCAAUGGGGGGAACCCUGACGCAGCGACGCCGCGUGCGGGACGGAGGCCUUCGGGUCGUAAACCGCUUUCAGCAGGGAAGAGUCAAGACUGUACCUGCAGAAGAAGCCCC